UGGGCAGUAAUCUGUCUCAACCCAGAGCCUGAAUGGGAAGUUAUUUUGGCAGUGUUUCCCCUAUAUGCAUUAGCAGUGACCACUGUUUUUUUAUUUAUAUACGGAUGUGUAUGUAUGAUUUAAAAAUAAAUAAAUAAAAAAGCGGGCACGGUAAAACAUUUUUCAGUGUAAACUUAAGCGUAAUGAUUAUGGCUCUAGAUUGCAGAAAAGGCUGUUUCAGGUGUUUGAAAAAUGUAAAAUUCACUAAUUUAAGGAUGGGGGCUGGGGCCCCCUCUGCACCUCUCCUCAGCCAUUCUCACAUACUUUGUGCCCCCUCAGAUUUGUGGGGUGCAUGACAGCCUGCAGCUUGUCACUGGUCAUUUCGCCUUUCUUGCAUGUUUUUAAUUUGCUUUCGUUCAGACUCUUAGUGUAUUAGGCUGUAGGCCUAGUGGAAUGUAUUAGACUAUAGGUAGUGGAAUGUAUUAGACUGUAGGUAGUGUAGGUAGUGGAAUGUAUUAGACUGUAGGCAGUGUAGGUAGUGGAAUGUAUUAGACUGUAGGUAGUGUAGGUAGUGGAAUGUAUUAGACUGUAGGUAGUGGAAUGGAUUAGACUGUAGGUAGUGGAAUGUAUUAGACUAUAGGUAGUGGAAUGUAUUAGACUGUAGGUAGUGUAGGUAGUGGAAUGUAUUAGACUGUAGGUAGUGGAAUGUAUUAGACUGUAGGUAGUGGAAUGUAUUAGACUAUAGGUAGUGGAAUGUAUUAGACUAUAGACCCUUUCUAAGCCAUAAAUGGAGAUGGGGAUUUGGAUUUGUGGCUUUGACUUAAUUCUCUGUCCAGGCCAAUGACUAUGACGGCAAUUCUGAUCUAACUGGUCACUUUAAUAAUGUUUACAUACUGUUUUACUCAUUUAAUAUGUAUAUACUGUAUUCUACUGUAUUUUAGUUAAUGCCACUUCGACAUUGCUCAUCCUAAUAUUUAUAUAUUUCUUAAUUCCAUACUUUUACUUUUAGAUUUGUGUGUAUUGUUGUGAAUUGUUAGAUACUACAGCACUGUUGGAGCUAAUUCUACGUUCUACCCAUAUUCAGUCCAAUUUUAACAAAUAAUAUUGUAUUGUAACCUAUUGAGUUCAUGAUUUGCACAGCAUAGCAUACCUUCCUAGGUCAGGCCGUCAAAGAUUUCUGGUCACGCUCCUACCCGGAACUUAAACCUCCAGUCUGGCGAUCCUAUCGGACAUAUUUCAUGAAACACAGGAACGAUUAAAGGAGAACAUAUUUGUUUACAUAGAUCCGAAGUUUAAAUGUUUUCAGUUUCUCAGACAUCUUCUGGUUUCGAAAUUAGCCAGGGCCAUUUUACUAUUUAAUAACUUAGAAACAGUGAAAACCCAUUAAAUUGUCUUGUUUAGUUAGCUCUCUGGAGCAGGUUUUCCGCUUGUUACGAGGGUAGCUAGCUAGCUAGCAGCAAUCAAUCGCUUGCUAUACAUUUCACGAUGGACGACAGACUAUGAAAUUUGACCUCCGAUGUUAUAAACAAAUUGAAAGGUAGUUAUUGCAGUUUUACAAAAAUGGAUAUCAGUCUAACAAUUUCCCUAAUGCGGGGCCAGAUGGGUACCGUGAUAGAGAGAGCGGUUAGUGCCGCUGUUGAGACUGUGUUGGGGGAGAUGCUUAGAGUCGUCGGCAUUAAAUUUGACGAGCUGAAGAGGGAGGUAGUUGCUAAAGAGAAAGAGGCGGAGAACAUAAGACAGAUGUUGGAGAUAUCCCGAUCUCAGAUGAAGACUAUGCGGAAACACAUGAAUGCUCUGGGUGAGAACGCCCACGCUGCCACUUAUCAGACCUACCGGACAGCAUUCGGCCAUUCUGAUCCCCGCAGAAUUCACGGUUCCUCCGAGGCCGCACUAUCCUCGGGUUUACCACAGCCACCGAGAAGGAUGGUUACUAACAACAACCAAAUUCCCACUACAAAUGGAAACUUACAGCCAAGGAAUCGAGUCACCAUCACCCUACCCUCUGAGAAUAUGGUCAGGGCCACCCAGCCGUCUGAUAACUUGGUCAGGGUCACCCAACCCUCUGAUAACUUCGUCAGGGCCACCCAGCCGUCUGAUAACUUGGUCAGGGUCACCCAACCCUCUGAUAACUUGGUCAGGGUCACCCAACCCUCUGAUAACUUCGUCAGGGCCACCCAGCCGUCUGAUAACUUGGUCAGGGCCACCCAACCCUCUGAUAACUUGGUCAGGGCCACCCAACCCUCUGAUAACUUGGUCAGGGUCACCCAACCCUCUGAUAACUUGGUCAGGGCCACCCAACCCUCUGACAAUAUGGUAACCGUUAGGCCCACGUCAACAUCCUUUGACAGUCACGAUGAUCUGACAACUGUGAUCUCCCAGACUCUGGAGGAUCGGACAUUGACACCCACUAGUUCAUCAGAGCAUCUGGAACCUUUGAAAGAGGAGCACCCAGCCCCUCUAGACCCCGAGGUGUCUGAUGAGAGCCAGAGGAGGGAGGAGGAAGAAGAGUGGACCACCGUUACACAGCCACCAUCAGAGACCAGCACAGACCCUGGAGACCAGCUGGUCCUCUCCCCACCCAGGACUGACGGAGCAGACUGCUCUGCCAGGAGUGUACUGCCACUCUCCCAGCCACUUUCCCAGUUCCAAGUGAAAGAGGAGGAAGCUGAGGUGGAGAUCAUCUGUAUCAAACAGGAACCAGAGGAGGUGGAGACCCUGCUGAUAAACCUGGCUGCCGAAGGCUUCGACUCUCAGGGCAACCUUUUAGACAGGCAGACUCAGGGAAACCACCUCCUGGACAGUCACAGGACAAUCCCAGGCUCUCAGAGCCAGAGGGAUCGGAGAGCAUCCCGUCCACCACAGAACCAGAGGACCUUAGCAGAGAAUACACCCUUCACCUCAGCCGACUCUUGUUCAUAUGGGCUGUCCCAGGCAGUGAUGUCCACGUCAGGAGGAGUUGCUCCCAGGCCGAUGGUUCGUCCGUGGCCCAAGGACCUGAGUCUGUACGAGGAGUUUAAAAUGAGACGAACUGAGUUGAGGAGGAGGAACCAGACCCGUCAGAGAGAGAUGGAGAAAAACCUUCCCCAGCCUCUAUUAGCUGACCUGGUGAAGGAGAGACGGGAGAAGACCCGGCUCAGAGUGGCCCGCUGGAGAGCCAAGAGGAAGCUUCAGGCCUGCCUACUGACUCAGAUGAACCAGCAGACACAACACCAACAGACUGGACCGGGUCUGGGCCAAGGGAACAGUCUGAACAGUGGGCUGGGGAAUCAUAGCCAGAUUAGCCACCACACACAGCACAAAACCACAGGCCCGACUCAGACACAACAGAGGAACAGUGCUGCCGUCUCUCAAUCUCAGUACAAUAACAGUUUUCUGUACAACAGAAGUCACUGUGACUCUGGGGCUGGUAACAUUAACUACCCUUCUCUCCAGUUAAACUCCUCUUCUCUAAUGCUGGGGCAACACGGAGGACACAAUAUGGUGGAGCACAUUAUGCAGCCUGCGAUGACGUCAUCCUCACAGCAGGGCCUCUCCCUGACAGACUCUGAGCUCUACCAGUAACAAGGGAUCAUGGGUAUUCAAAUCUUACCCUACAAGUUCUGGAUUACUGCUGGUUUUCUGUUCUACCUGAUAAUGAAUUACACCCACCUGGUGUCCCAGGUCUAAAUCAGGCCCUGAUUAGAGUGGGAUCACCCACCUGGUGUCCCAGGUCUAAAUCAGGCCCUGAUUAGAGGGGGAUCACCCACCUGGUGUCCCAGGUCUAAAUCAGUCCCUGAUUAGAGGGGGAAUCAUCCACCUGGUGUCCCAGGUCUAAAUCAGUCCCUGAUUAGAGGGGGAUCACCCACCUGGUGUCCCAGGUCUAAAUCAGUCCUUGAUUAGAGGGGAAUCACCCACCUGGUGUCCCAGGUCUAAAUCAGUCCCUGAUUAGAGGGGGAAUCAUCCACCUGGUGUCCCAGGUCUAAAUCAGUCCCUGAUUAGAGGAGAAGAGUGGAACUGGCUUUGUGGUCCACAUUUGAGUUAGAGGGCAGGAGACCAACAUUACAGUACCAGUUCUACUCUACCAGUACCAGUUCUACUCUACCAGUACCAGUUCUACUCUACCAGUACCAGUUCUACUCUUCCAGUUCUACUCUACCAGUACCAGUUCUACUCUACCAGUACCAGUUCUACUCUUCCAGUUCUACUCUACCAGUACCAGUUCUACUCUUCCAGUUCUACUCUACCAGUACCAGUUCUACUCUUCCAGUUCUACUCUACCAGUACCAGUUCUACUCUACCAGUACCAGUUCUACUCUACCAGUACCAGUUCUACUCUACCAGUACCAGUUCUACUCUACCAGUUCUACUCUACCAGUACCAGUUCUACUCUACCAGUACCAGUUCUACUCUUCCAGUUCUACUCUACCAGUACCAGUUCUACUCUUCCAGUUCUACUCUACCAGUACCAGUUCUACUCUACCAGUACCAGUUCUACUCUACCAGUACCAGUUCUACUCUACCAGUAACAAUAGAGCAGAGGAUGUGUUUUGUAGAGUCACUCCGUUGUAUGGCACCCUAUUCCCUAUGUAGUGCACUACAUUCGACAAAAGUUUUUUAUGGCUCUGGUCAAAAGUAGUGCACUAUAUAGGGAAUAUAGGGUGUCAUUUUCAGACACAACCUUUGCCUUCUGAUGCGGGGACAAUAACAUGAGAUAUUUCAAGGGGAAUUGUAUAAAUGCAAAAUUAUCCAAAUUGCCUGUGACAAAUUGAUAAAAAAAAAAAAGGCUUUUAUAAUUGAAUUGCUUAAAAAAAAAUAUAAAUACCUGAGAAUGUUUUGAUGUACAACAAAAGUCUUUAUUAAAAUACAUUAUUUAUGUUAACUUGAGUAAUGACUGUCCCUACAUGUCUACAAAUAUGGAGGAUAAAUCCUUGUACUCGAAUAACUGAUUGGAUCAUCAUGCGUAAUGCUUCUAGGUCAAACAAAUGUUCGUCAAUAUUAUUUAAUCAACUCUUAUUUAUACCUUGUAUUGCUCUGCAACUGGAUUUAAAUCACGAUAAUAUACUUAUUAUUCAGAUAUAGACCUAUUCAAUGAUAUACUAGGAAACUAUCCCAUAUACAUUAUGAAUCACUUUUUUGAGUUUAGGCCUAGUCUUUGAUCUCUUGCUUCAUUCCUCCUGUUCCGUACUUGAUAGUUACAUUAGCAGUGUUCAAGGCUGUUUACAUUAACCUGUCCAGUCAUUAUGUUUUUGGCAGCAUUUACAAAGUUUUGAUUAGAAAAUAGAUGGGACUGUUACUGUGCGUUUCCGUUGUUCAUAAAAAACAGCUGGAUGGAAUGACGUCACACCUAUUAAAAAAAAAAUUAUAAUAAUAAAAACACUUAGCAAAAACCGAGUGUCGAAUGAAAAGAAAGUGGUUGAAGUGUUUUCCAUUAUCCAUUUGGG
rnacentral:lncRNA from 1 species